rnacentral:rRNA from 1 species
GAUGAACGCUAGCGGCAGGCUUAAUACAUGCAAGUCAAGGGGGUAGCAAUACAACCGGCGCACGGGUGAGUAACGCGUACACAACAUACCAUAUACUGGAGUAUAGCUUUGGGAAACUGAAGGUAAUCCUCCAUAACAUUGCGAGAGGGCAUCUGAUUGCAAUUAAAGUUUCGGCGGUAUAUGAUUGGUGUGCGUUUGAUUAGCUAGUUGGUAGGGUAACGGCCUACCAAGGCGACGAUCAAUAGCUGGCGUGAGAGCGCGACCAGCCACACUGGAACUGAGACACGGUCCAGACUCCUACGGGAGGCAGCAGUAGGGAAUAUUGG